rnacentral:antisense_RNA from 1 species
GGAGCUGGUAAUCAGGAUGGCAGUGAGGCAGGCACUUGCUUGCGGAAGAACAGGCCUAGUUUUUUAAGAAGCCACGAAAGUGUCUUUAGAUGAUUAGGAUCUAAGGGGCCAACAGCUUUGCAAUAACAGCAUAAAUAUUGUGGGCUGGAUGGACAGGCACCAAAUGGGGACAUUCCAUCCUGCUGUGUGAUGAGAAAGCUGCCACUUCUGAGGCCUUCCAAAACAAAUAAACACUCCAAAUGCCAGAAGGAAAAGCCCAGGAAAGACCUAUUCCAACUGGAGAUGGAAUAUGAAGGGAGAAUGAAACAAAACUGCUCCGCUCAGGGAACUUAGAAAUUGAAAAGGCAAGGCACAGGCUGGAAGAAAAUAUUUGAAAAAGAUUUAUGUGACAAAGAACUUCUUUCUGGAUUAUACAAAAUAUUUUUAGAUAUUCUUACAACUCUAAAAUAAGAUAACUCCUUAAAAAUGUGAAUUCUACCAAAGGAGAGAUAAAGAUGACAAAUACAGUCAAAGAUGCUGAAAAUCGCUUAUUUAUUAUUGGGAAGUUACAAGCUACAGCAUAAUGAGAUACCACUACAACCUACUAAACUGACUAAAAUUAAUCAGACUAACCAGGUGUUGGCAAGAAACAGGGACACUGAGACUCUCACACUGCUGGAAGGAAUGUAAAAUGCUAAAAUUUCUUUGGAAACGAGUUCAGUAACUUUUUAAACAGUUGAAAAUAGACCUAUCAUGCAAACCAGCAACCCCACUUCUAGGUAUUUAUCCAAGGAAAAUGACAACAUAUGCCCACACAAAGACUUGUGCACAAAUGACUGUAGCAGCUUUGUGGUAAUUGCUAAAAACUAGAAACUUGUCAAGUGUCCAACAGGUGAGUGGACAAACUCACUAUAG